rnacentral:rRNA from 1 species
AUACGGAGGAUCCGAGCGUUAUCCGGAUUUAUUGGGUUUAAAGGGAGCGUAGGCGGAGGAUCAAGUCAGCUGUGAAAUGUAGACGCUCAACGUCUGCACUGCAGUUGAAACUGGUCCCCUUGAGUGCGUAAGGGGCAGGCGGAAUUCGUCGUGUAGCGGUGAAAUGCUUAGAUAUGACGAAGAACUCCGAUCGCGAAGGCAGCGCACCGACCCGGAACUGACACUGAUGCUCGAAAGUGCUGGUAUCAAACAGGAUUAGAUACCCUGGUAGUCCGCACAGUAAACGAUGAAUACUCGCUGUUUGCGAUACACUGUAAGCGGCCAAGCGAAAGCGUUAAGUAUUCCACCUGGGGAGUACGCCGGCAACGGUGAAACUCAAAUGAAUUGACGGGG